rnacentral:rRNA from 9 species
CGGGACCUCAGGUCAGGCGGGGCUACC